rnacentral:tRNA from 1 species
GGGGUCGUAGCUCAGUUGGUAGAGCGCGUCGUUCGCAAUGACGAGGUCAGGGUUCGAUUCCCUCGGCUCCACCA